UGGUUAUCUAAGCUGUAAUAAGUAGCCUUGGGACCCCUGAAGGCACACCCCACACACUUAUGCUGUGUGACCUAAGGUCACAAGUAAUGGCUGCAAGCUAAUUGAUUGAGAAAGGGUUGUCUGGCGGGGCCUCUUUGCGUCCUCCCUUUGCAUUCCUAAGUUCUGUGAGAGAGGCACUAGUAGCUCAGCCUAGCAAGGAAGGAAAAAAGAGGAAGUUUUUCUCUGCGUUCUGAUUACACUCUGAAUUCCCUUGUAGUGAGCUUACUUCUCUCCACCCACUUCUUACCAAGAACUCCUUAACUUGAGGGUGAACAACUUAAAGCUUGAUCCUACAGAGUUACCUGAAAAGUGAUUUGAGUAUUCAUUGAACUGAAAGAACAAAUCGCCUACUUCAGGCGGUGGGAAGCGUAUGGAAAUUAUAUUAGAACUUCAGCAAAGUGCACAGCUGCAUAAUAGAGAAGCCGGCACUCAGAUUGACAGGCAAAUAAGCCAGCUUGUGGAAGGGGCCUCUGGGUGGCAGCUCUGGGCUUUUGGGUGUUGGACAACCAUAGGCAAAACUGAAAUGGAACAGGGGCAGAAAAUAGCACACUUUUACUCUACGCAACUGUUGCUUUUUCAUGAUCUUCCUGAAUUUUCCUGGGAUAAUUUUCCAAAGAGAAUUCCAAGCAUUCUAUUCAAAUGGUUAUUGAUUAUUAAAAUGGCACUGAAAUGAGAUAGCUCCAAAAUAACAGUAAGUCUUAAUUACUUGAAAGACAUAUUAUUUUAAUAUUGCACUGUAACAUGCCAUACCAUAUUUGGUGAUUUUUUUCACUGUUCUAGUUUUGUAUGCUCCUAUAGAGCAGAGAAUGAGUAGCACCCCUAGAACUCAAAGUAUAUUUUUAUGUGAAGCUGAAAUGUUUUUAACUUGACUCUGCCAGUUAAUAAUUUUUGGAUUUGGCAAGCUUCAGUAUAGCCCUAUUUUGAGAAAAGCCAACAAAAGUAUUUCUCUUCUAAUUCAGUGUUCUUUUUCCUUUAAAGAGAUUUUUGUAUGUAAAUGCUUAUAAAUUCAUUGUUAUUAUAGUAACACUAAUAUAUUCUGUUUCUUUCUACUGUGCCAAAAAUAAUUAACAUUUAUGGCAGGUUUAAACUUUUGUCAGUCAGAAGAUCUAGUUAUUAAAAUAAAUGAAAUAGGUAUAACAAUACACCUUCUUUAUUGAAGCCAGAUUAUCUCUGCAAGCAAUACACACUUACAUCAGAUGUUAUGUAUAGUACCAUUGCUAUCUCAAAGCCAUGCAUCCUAAUAUGUUUAUUAUUUAUAAUAAAAAUUUUAAAUCAGUCAUAUAUUUUCUUCUGAAAUGUGUACAGAGCAUAUGCAAUGGAUUGGUGGAAAUACUGUACUAUUUCUCAUUACUUAUUAGAAUAUUUAAAAUACUGGUUUUGGCUAAAUGACUAAUCAGUAUUUUAGUGGAACAGGUUCACAACCUUUCCUGAAAGUAAAAUAUACAUUUUAAUGUAACAUUUCUUACCCAAAGACAGUUGACAUAGUAGUAAACUUAAUAAUUGCCUCCAGAAUAAAACACAGAAAAACAAUGUUAAAUUAAAAACAACUGGUGAAUUUGAAUAUACAUAUAUGUAUGUGUAUAUGUUAAUAUGUGCAUAUUACACACAGAGUUUGUACAGGAUUAUAAUAUACCAUUAUAUAUUUUAUACAUGUAAUUGUAUAUUGCAGACAUAUAUAUUUAAGUAAAUUAUAUAAGUAUAUGUAAGUAAAUUACGUAAGUACAUAUUAUGUAAACGUAAUUAUAUAGAUAUAUGAUUAUGAAGGCAAUAGAUUCUAAAACUCAAAACAGACACAUAUAAAGAGAAAGUUACUAAUUAUUUCCUCCUCUUAUCCUGAGGCAGCCAAUGUCAGAAUGUGGUGUGUGUUUCUCUACCUCGCUCAUGAGCUUCUCCAGACUCAGAAAGCACAGCAAAUUUGUACAUCUCUUUUGUUAGAUGUGGUUUUGUUUAUGUGGCUUGUUUUGAUAGAGAAACUCAAACACAUUGCUCUUCUUCUUGUUUUUUAUAGAUAUCCUUUUAAAUUAAUGUACAGAAUAUUCCAUAUUAAGGCUCAUUAUUUUUAAUUUAAGGAAAUAAAAGUCUGGAUAUUCAUUGUCUGUCUUCUAUCAUAGCCAUAGUAAAAAGAACCAAUAUUAUCAUGGACUGCAAAUCUCAGUGAUAUUUUAACUUCAGACUUGAUAAUUACAUGAAAAUGACCUGAUGUCUAUGAGAAAAUAGGAAACUAAGAUUUACAAAGUCAAUUGCAGUUUGGUAGACUGUGUUCUUUUACCAAUCUAUUUGUUAUCUAGAGCUAUCGAUCUCCAAAAAUAUCUGAUCCCCAUGGCAGAAUAUAUGCUGCUUCACUAUGAUGUAAUGUUUGUACUUUUCAGUCACCAUAUUUGGUGACAAAAAUCACAUUUAUGAAACCAUAGGUCAGUAGAAAGGAAUGAGUUAGGGAGUAGAUUUGCUAAGCUUCUACCAAUCCUAUAAAGGUGGAUGCAGGAUUUUCUUUAAGACUGGAUAUAAUGAAGAGAGGAAAAAUAAGUUAAGCCAUGGAUUAAUCCAAGUGAGUACAAUUCAAGGAAAAUAAACAUGAUACAGUCAUAUAUAAGAAUAAAUAAGACUCCUUGAUAUAAAUAUUAUUUUGUUUAGAAUGGCACAGGUCAUCAGAAAGCUAUAUAUAUGUAUUA
ensembl:lincRNA